rnacentral:lncRNA from 1 species
UCACCAGAACUUGCAGUGUUGGCCAUAAAUUCAUCCACUCAGCACUUACCAAUUCCCUAUCAAUUUUACUGUAAACAUGGUUAUUUGUCCAGGUGAGGGUUCUCCCAUUAUAUUGCAGUUCAUUCAUACCAGUAUCAGUAAGAAAUUCCUUAAAAUCUCUAAUUUCAGCUUCCUGUACAGGUGAACCAUGUUUCCUAUCAUCCAUAGUCCAAAUAGCGUUGAAAUCCCCCAUUAUUAGCCAAGGUCCCACUUGAACAUCUGCCCGGUCCUUUAAAUAUGCCCAUUAGCUCACUCUAUCAUGCAUGGUAUGGAGACCAUACACUGCUGCAAAAUGAAAAACCAUAUUCAGAGCAUACAUUUUGACUUUAGUAUGAAUGCAUUGUGUACACAUAUCCUCCAAACUAAACUCAGUAGUGGUCGGGUCCCAAAGAAUCCAGAUCCUUCCUUUGCUAGUUGUACUGGCAUUUGAAACCCAUCUCCACCCAUUAGUAAUUUUAUUGAUAACAUGUGUUUCUUUCGGCAGAUUUACUCUGUGUUCUAGGAUGGCUAUCAAUCCCAUUUUAUUUUCCCUAAUAAAACUCCUAAUCUCUUUUUGCUUGUAAACUUUUAUUCAAUCCCCUCACAUUCCAGGUUAUUAGUUUCAUAUUGUUGUUGUUGUGGAGCUGGGAUCACAAACCUCACUUCUGAUACUACUCUGCUCUCUUUCAUACACUCAGUGUUGAUUAUGCAUUACAGACUGAUCUCUAGUUUCCUCCAGAAUGCUGAAGCCAUUCUCAGUGUGUGUCUCUCUUGUUUGAAAGUUUGCAAGUUACCCUAUUUUUGCUGCAGAUUUCCCUGUAACUGUUACCCACCCUUCAAUUUAUGUUUGUACAUGUUGUUCAACCACUUGCUUUUGCCUUUCAUCACUUGGUUAAACCUGUUGCUCAUUUUAUACCUUCUGUUUCUCUUCCACAUGUGUGGUUCCUCCAUUAGUAGUUAUUACUCUUUUUCCCCAAAUUUACUUUUGUCUAGCUUGCUUAUUCCUUUAUGGUUGGGGUCCUAAUUUUUGCAUAGUCGGCAGCUGAGUUACUGGCUUUCGCACGGUAGGUACUUCAUAGUUAUGGCCUAUUUGAAAGCAAGUAUUACAGUACUCAGGCUCCCAUUCAUAUAAUACUACUUGUUCAAAUAACCUUCCUGUGGAAUAUAGCACUUCUAUAGUCUUAGGCAAAGGUCUUGUAAUGUCCAUCUCAAUGAGUACCCUUGCAUAUGAUAUCUUUGCGGCAGUUGUGGUACAUUCAAUAGCAUAAAUGGGAGUCCCUAAACCACUACCAAUUCGACUUAGAGCUUUCAUGGUCCAACAAUUUCGUGGUAGAUUAGGGAAUGUUACCCACAAUGGCACAAUCUUCAGAAUUUCAUCUUGCAGGCUAAACUUAGCUGUCCAAGCCUUCAUAAUCACUUGUCUGUUGUUAAUUGUGUGAGGUCCAGAAAAUAAUACUUUAUUUUUUUCCUCCAUAGUACUGAAUCGGAUCACAAAAUAAUCUUCAUUAUGGUAGUAAAUCUCUGGUUUGGUCGACAAUUUCCAUUGAGAUGUAAGAACUCACUCAACUACACCUAUUGAUGGGGAGUCUCCAAUGACAUACAGAAUAAUAGCUAAUCCCCAUUUGAUGUUCCCUUCUUCAAUAUCCUCCAAUUCUAGUCGGAUUACUUUCUGACCAUCUUUAAUUGUAG